CCAACUUCAUCUUAUGGAAUUCCUGGCAUAUGAGGUCGUGUCAUGCUUAUUCAUAUGUAUCAUUUCUAUGCCCUAUGUAUAGGUUUACAUUUUAAAAUGUGUCUCAAGACUUGACAUUGAUAUAUUCCAUCUACAAAUACAGCUGAAUUCUCAGUGAGAAGGAUCUUGGAAUAAAGAAAAAAACGUGGAUGAAAAAUUCAAAUCACCAUAAUUAGUAUGAGACAGCUAAAUAUGGUUUAAACAACACAGCGAAAUGGGGACUAAAUAAAAUAAUUCUUCUCUUCCUUCAUUACCGAGCAUCACCUCUUGGCGGCUCCACUUCUGUGACUGGAAUGGUCAUCUCUGGGCCUCCAGAAAAGGAAUAUGAGGAAUCAAGAACGACAGUCAUGAAGGCCAACUAUGUUCAAGGUCAGCUUCAUCCCUUGACAUUGGUGCUUGAAAGCAACUGAAAGGAAAUCACAAGAAAGCCAUGAUCAUAGUGCAUGGGUGGGUUUGCCCAGAAGAGAAAGUACUCAGACGAUGGGUAGAAGGAGGAUUUGAACAGCCCACUCUCCUGGACUCAGAGAGAAGUUUUUUCACACCUCUUCCAAAGACACUGGUGCCGGAAGCAUGCUCUGGGCCAUAUGUAAGAAGCAGCUAGUGCAAAGAUAGCCUUGUCGGUGUAUUCCCUACGGCCUUUAAAGGGCAGAGACAACUGGCUGUUUCACAUGCUGUUAUGACCUUCAGGAAGUCAGAUUGGAUUCUGUUUAUAGAGAAGAGUGCCCUCCUACACAGAGUGUUUUUCAGACACGGCUGACAGUUGGAGAGGCUCCAGCUGCUGGUUGUACCUGGAUUUGAACUCCACCCAAUGAUAACAGUUUCAGUCUGAAU